GCUGGGUAGGGUUAAGUUAUGAAGGGCUCUAAAAGGCAAAGCCAAGAAGUGUAUAUUUGAUUUGGAGAUGAAGGUGUGUGUGUGUGUGUAAAUACACUACUAAUAUAAGGCCCAUGAUACUUCGGGCUUGUCUUCACUACUGGAGAGACAGAUGCUGCUGCAAUUGAUGCAACGGGGGUCAAUUUAGCAGGUCUAGUGAAGUUCCGCUAAAUCGAUGCCAGAGCUCUCUCUGGUUGACUCCAUACUCCAGCUCCCGAGAAGAGUAAGAUACGUCGACGGGAGAGCCUCUCCCAUUGACACAGCACAGAACUUUGGGCUUUGACAAGAGGAUUAAGUAGGAGCAGUUGAAGAU